rnacentral:rRNA from 1 species
GGGCCCGCACAAGCGGUGGAGCAUGUGGUUUAAUUCGAUGAUACGCGAGGAACCUUACCAGGGCUUAAAUGGGAAAUGACAGGGGCAGAGACGCCCCCUUCUUCGGACAUUUUUCAAGGUGCUGCAUGGUUGUCGUCAGCUCGUGCCGUGAGGUGUCAGGUUAAGUCCUAUAACGAGCGCAACCCCUAUCGUUAGUUGCCAGCGAGUAAUGUCGGGAACUCUAACGAAACUGCCAGUGCAAACUGUGAGGAAGGUGGGGAUGACGUCAAAUCAUCACGGCCCUUACGUCCUGGGCUACACACGUGCUACAAUGGCCGGUACAGAGAGCAGCCACUUCGCAAGAAGGAGCGAAUCCCUUAAACACUAUCUCAGUUCGGAUCGGAGUCUGCAACUCGACUCCGUG